GUGUGUGAGUCUGUGCCUGCACCCUGCAGCCCGCCCUCCCGUGCCUUGAGGAACUGGCCCUGGGGCCCUGCGGUCCCCCUCUAAGGCUGCACAGCUCUCCGCCCUGUGUUAUUAUCUGUUGGGUUGAGAGUUCCAUGGCCCCUUUUUUCUUGAUUCUCUUCCUCAACCUGGGGACUGUCAUCCCCUUACUGACCUCUCUCUUCUCAUUUAUUACCUGGGAAAGUGUCCUUUUCUCUCCUUACUUUAUAUGCUCCUUCUGAGCGGUCUGACCUACUUCAAACAGUUACGACUGUCACCGUAUACCCCGGCAACUCCAAAAUCAAUACCUCAAGCUUUAUUUUUAUUCUAAUUUGAGCUGCAGUCACAUUCCUGUAUUUCCUCUUCCUGAGGGACAUCUUUAGGUGUUUCAAAUCGAACAUGUUAAAAAUGGAGCUCAUUUCCUUCUUCCUAAAAACACCCCUCAUCUCCUUCGCCCUUCACCUUCCCUAUUCAACUUGUUCCGAGCCAUGUCAAGUGUAUCUCAGAUUUGUUCCCCAAACUGACCCGACUUCUUAUCCUGUGUCAUUACCAGACCACCUCUCAGCAGGUCAGAAGCCGUGAACUCAAUUGGCUGCCUCCAGAAUCUCUCCUCUUGGGUUCAUUUGAACAUUGAUUUUCCUAAAAAUAAACUCUGGCUUCUCACUGAAAACUUAGACCCUUCCAUAUCGCCUUCCUCCUGUCCCCAUCCCAUAUCUUAUGUUCUUUUAUAUCUAACUUCUCACCAUUCUAUACACUAUGAACCAGCUCAUGCCUCUGUAUGUGCUGUUCCAGUAUCCGGGGAAUGCCUUUCCUGUUAUUUCUCUUCUGAUGAGCUCCUAUUCAUCCUUCAACACCUGUGGGAUUUUGUUUUGUUUUAAUUUUUAAAUGUGUAUUUAUUUUUGAGAGAGACACAGAGCACGAGUGGGGGAGGGACAGAGAGAGAGGGAGACACAGGAAUCCGAAGCAGGAUCCCAAUGCGGGGCUCAAACUCCCCAACUGCAAGAUCACGACCUGAGCCGAUGUCGGACGCUCAACCGACUGAGCCACCCGGGCACCCCGACACCUGUGUUUCGAUCAGAGUCCCUUCCAUGAAGAUGAAACAGGCAUCGCUUGAACUCCAGGAAGGCAGAGAGCUCGGCAGCCCCCCAUCACGGUGUGGAACCAUCCAGGAAUGCUGGGACCAAGGCUUGGAGAGACAUAGGGCAUGGCAGAGUGGAGUGCCGUUGGAGGACUCUGGUCCCCCCCCAACAGGUGCCCUGGAAGGACUUGUGCCUUAUACCCAGGAAGGCCUCAGGUAAAUGUCUGUUGAGUAAAUAAUGAAUACAAGAAGAAAGAGAAAGGAAUCGGUGAAGUACAAUACAGCCUUCCACAGGACCUGUGAGAAACAAAAUCGCCUGGAGAAUUCAGGCUCGUGCAUUCAGAAUUAGUUCACAUUUGGCAAUUAACAGCGUCAGCCAGUCAAUGUUUGCUGGGAGAAAGGACGUGAGAAAGAAUCGAGUCUGCAAGCCUUCGUGACACGUCACUGAGUUUCUGAACCUUGAGGACGGUGCCUGGAUUGACCGACAAGCACUUCCUCUCCUUAUUUCCACGGCAAGUCCUUUCUUGAGCAGCCUCCUAUGAUGGGAUGUUUACCCAGUAUUUACAUUUGGUGGAGGAUCCGCGGUUGGUGACAGCUGAGGCUUUACAAGGUGAGCUGGUGACUGCGAGCGGGGCCUCUGAGGACGUCUCCUGCCUUGCCACUGAGUUACGACAGGCCGAAUGGGAGGACGCAGUCAGAGCCGGCCACUGGAGCAGACCACAGUGUGCCCUCCCCAGUGAGCUCCCCUGAAAUGGCCUGGAACCUGUACAGAGGGGGGAGGGAAGUACCACCGAUGGUGAGCGUGCCCAUGACCUUGACCACAGAACCGCAUCAGGCAAGCUGACAUCCCGAGAGCCGCUCUCCGAACCUGCACCUGGCCCACUCACUGGGGCCAGGCUGGCAGCCAGCAUCCGGGAGUUGAGGAAAGGGGACAGUGGUGGCUUCAGAGGCUAGACGCAGAGAGAGAAGCAGAGGCAGGUGGGAGGGCUGAGACAGGAUUUCAUGGACUCUGAUCCUGUUUCAGAGUAAAACGGCCAAAGGGAAGGAGAAGCCAGGAUAGCGUGUUUACAUCAGGAGAGGCUCUUUCCAUUAGCUAUUGUGCAAGACAGCAGGAAUGAUGCCUUCCACUCCACGAUUGAUUCCUCGUGAUUUUCCUUUCAUAUAUCGGAAAGCCAGGCUUUCUCCGCUGCAAACACACUGGGAGCAACCAAAGUAGCAACACCGGCUUUUUCGAGAAGUGAAGUUAAUUAUUCGGAGGCCAUCUGAGUUUUAAAACCAUCUGGUCAACAUUGCAGAGACAGGAGUCUCCAGUAGAUGGCAGCACUAAGACAGUAGCGCCACACAGUCUCAGACUCCAGAACAUUCACAUCGUGCGUGAGCAGCCGCACUCCUCGUGUUGGAACCUGUGUUAUGACUCAUUACCAGUGAAAAUAUUCACUAAAUGUGCUAUAGUCAUAACAGGAUGAGUCACUCAUUCAAUCUUAUUCACUCGUAAAAUAAGAGAAAUAAGAAAGUCCACUUUUCCUGCAACCUCUAAUCCGAGGGCUGUGUGUUUGUGUCCCAAUUUCCAGAAAAUAAACGUGGUGAAUACUGUUGAAAUUCA